UACGUAGGGGGGCAAGCGUUGUCCGGAAUUAUUGGGCGUAAAGAGCGUGUAGGCGGUCCGGUAAGUCAGCUGUGAAAGUCAAGGGCUCAACCCUUGAAAGCCGGUUGAUACUGUCGGGCUAGAGUCCGGAAGAGGCGAGUGGAAUUCCCGGUGUAGCGGUGAAAUGCGCAGAUAUCGGGAGGAACACCGGAUGGCGAAGGCAGCCCCCUGGGUUAACACUGACGCUCAGGCACGAAAGCGUGGGGAGCAAACGAGG
rnacentral:rRNA from 1 species